GGGGUAUCCACUUAUCAAACAUUUCAUUUGGAGGCAACCUCUGGUACUCAACAACACAAUCACCUAUGCUUGAUGUUGGCAGCAAAUGGUUGUGGUCCUUAACAUGCAACUCCAGGGGACUCCCGUCAUCAGGAAAUUCUAGCGUCUGGUGCCAUUUUGGAUUCACCGUUUUAUACAUAACCUUAGUUCUUUUCUUCAAGUUCCC
rnacentral:misc_RNA from 1 species